rnacentral:sRNA from 1 species
UUCAUAGAAACGCAAGCCUAAAUUAGACAGUUUUGACUGUCAAUAGCUUUUGACAAGAUAAUUUGAUUAAAAAUGGUUCCUUUCCGAAAAUCUCUAUCCUGUCCGAUGUUUGCUUGGCCUCACGAGAAAAGGCCCACCACUGUGGAUGGCCCAAUCCAAACCUCCUACAACUAAUACAAUGGAGCACUUGUGACUCCGCAGAAUGGCGCUGCGUGGGGCUCCAGCCGGCCAAAAGAGAGCUUGUCCCCUGGUUCGGACUCCAAGCGGCCAUCCACCGACUCGGACUUCGAGUCCAGCUCCAACUGCAGCUCCAACGUCCAGCUCCUGCGCUCCUGUCAGCCAGUCGUAUGUAUUCAUUUCCAAAGGGAAUAACUUAUGUACGCUCUGGGCACAAUAAAUUCUUGCACUGCAAAUGUCAA